GCCGCUGUGGUCCAGUGGUUGAGCAAUGGACUCUUGAUCCGGAGGCCCCGGGUUCGAUUCCCGGUGGAGACA